rnacentral:rRNA from 1 species
GACGAACGCUGGCGGCGUGCCUAAUACAUGCAAGUAGAACGCUGAAGGAGGAGCUUGCUCUUCUGGAUGAGUUGCGAACGGGUGAGUAACGCGUAGGUAACCUGCCUGGUAGCGGGGGAUAACUAUUGGAAACGAUAGCUAAUACCGCAUAACAGUAGAUGUUGCAUGACAUUUACUUAAAAGGUGCAAUUGCAUCACUACCAGAUGGACCUGCGUUGUAUUAGCUAGUUGGUGGGGUAACGGCUCACCAAGGCGACGAUACAUAGCCGACCUGAGAGGGGGAUCGGCCACACUGGGACUGGGACACGGCCCAGACUCCUACGGGAGGCAGCAGUAGGGAAUCUUCGGCCAUGGACGGAAGUCUGACCGGGCAACGCCGCGUGAGUGAAGAAGGUUUUCGGAUCGUAAAGCUCUGUUGUAAGAGAAGAACGAGUGUGAGAGUGGAAAGUUCACACUGUGACGGUAUCUUACCAGAAAGGGACGGCUAACUACGUG